GGGGGUGAUCGGUUUCGACCGUUAGGUUGUACGGUGAGGAAGCGUGUCGAGGAUGCCAGUGACCUCGUUAAUCAUCCGGCAAAACCAUAAAUGCUGACAACAGCUACGCUCUCGCGGCCUAAAUAGUGCCCCGAGCGUGCUGCACACUUUGCCUGAGGGUGUGCAGAGCGAAAUUACUAUCAGGCUGGCGCAAAGGCUGUGUAGCAGGGCCGAGCGCGAGAUCACACUGCAGCUCGCCGACCCGGAGCGUGUUCGUUCGCGCCGGUGACGCUAACUUCAAACGACGAACUACACACGUAGAUGCCUUAUCGAUCUGCUUGGCGGCACGCGGGUUCGAUUCCCGCCACCUCCACCA
rnacentral:tmRNA from 1 species